AUUGAACGCUGGCAGCAGGCCUAACACAUGCAAGUCGAACGAGUGGCGGACGGGUGAGUAAUGUCUGGGAAACUGCCUGAUGGAGUGGGAUCACUCCUGGAAACGGUAGCUAAUACCGCAUACCAUCAGAUGUGCCCAGAUGGGAUUAGCUAGUUGGUGGGGUAACGGGUCACAAAGGCGACGAUCCCUAGCUGGUCUGAGAGGAUGACAAGCAACACUGGAACUGAGACACGGUCCAGACGCCGACGGGAGGCAGCAGUGGGGAGUAUUGCACAAUGGGAGAAAGCCUGAUGCAGCAAUGCCGCGUGUAUGAAGAAGGCCUUCGGGUUGUAAAGUACUUUCAGCGGGGAGGCGUUACCCGCAGAAGAAGCACCGGCUAACUCCGUGCCAGCAGCCGCGGUAAUAC
rnacentral:rRNA from 1 species